AACGUUAAGAAAACAUCCGUGUUAUAUAGGUUUAUUGAGAAGUUGCAACAAGACAUUCCUGGUAAAGGGGUCAAGAAACAAUUGGAGGUGCUAUGUGGUAUCUAUUACCUAUCCCUCCUUCACAAGUACCAGGGUGAUUUCAUUGCUACCAGCUGCAUAAGCCCUAAGCAGGCUUCACUUGCUAAUGAUCAGCUCAGAGCCUUAUAUUCUCAGGUUCGUCCAAAUGCUAUAGCUCUUGUUGAUGCGUUCAACUAUACCGACCACUACCUGGGAUCAAUUCUUGGCUGUUAUGAUGGAAAUGUAUAUCCAAAACUAUAUGAGGCAGCAUGGAAGGAUCCUCUAAACGAAUCAGAUAUACCUGAUGGCUAUCACGAGUAUAUCAGGCCUCUGCUUAAGCAACAGCUCCGUGCUGCUAGACUAUAGAGUAUUUUGCAUCAGAACAUGUUCAUUUUCUCAUAAUAGCUCUAGCUUUUGCUCUAUUCUCAUGUAUGAGAAAUCUUGCCAAAUAAUGGCAAAAGCAGAGAUUCUUGCCCGGAUUCGCUCCGUGCCUGUACUUGUUUUUGUUGUCAUAAUUAUCAACACUUAAUGGUCAAAGCGAGCCCUUUAUUGUGAUUGUUUA